GUUGUAUUGGUCCAGACAUCAGUAAUGAGGUGUUGUAUUGGUCCAGUCAUCAGUAAUGAGGUGUUGUAUUGGUCCAGACAUCAGUAAUGAGGUGUUGUAUUGGUCCAGUCAUCAGUAAUGAGGUGUUGUAUUGGUCCAGCCAUCAGUAAUGAGGUGUUGUAUUGGUCCAGACAUCAGUAAUGAGGUGUUGUAUUGGUCCAGUCAUCAGUAAUGAGGUGUUGUAUUGGUCCAGACAUCAGUA